rnacentral:rRNA from 1 species
GACGAACGCUGGCGGCGUGCCUAACACAUGCAAGUCGAGCGGGGAACUGCGGAACGCGGCUUCGGCCAAGUGAAACAGUUUCUAGCGGCGGACGGGUGAGUAACGCGUGAGUAACCUGCCUAUCACUGGGGAAUAACGCAUCGAAAGGUGUGCUAAUACCGCAUGAGACCACAAGAUCGCAUGGUCAAAGGGUCAAAGAUUUAUCGGUGAUAGAUGGGCUCGCGUCUGAUUAGCUAGUUGGUGAGGUAACGGCCCACCAAGGCGACGAUCAGUAGCCGACCUGAGAGGGUGAUCGGCCACAUUGGAACUGAGAAACGGUCCAAACUCCUACGGGAGGCAGCAGUGGGGAAUAUUGGGCAAUGGGCGCAAGCCUGACCCAGCAACGCCGCGUGAAGGAAGAAGGUCUUCGGGUCGUAAACUUCUAUCCUUGGUGAAGAUAAUGACGGUAGCCAAGAAGGAAGCCCCGGCUAACUACGUGCCAGCCGCCGCCGUAACAC